ensembl:lncRNA
CUUUACAUGGGAGUGAGGGUCCCUAACAUCCCAUCCCGUGACCUUCACUUCCCAGGGACCAGGGACCCAGCCCCGGGAGGUGGGCAGACAGGACAGCGGCAGGGGGUGUGGAUGACACAAGCCACUUCACACCCCAGGAUGGCUGCCCCCCAUCCCCAUGGCCCCGGCACUGGGUCAAGGGUGAACAGGAUGCUGGGCCCACCCAGAUGGCACAUUCUCUCUGUCUCCCAACUUGGCAGAGAGAGUUCUGAUAUCUCUGCUUCUCAUAUGGGCAAUAAUCCCACCGUGGGGACACACCGCUAACUUCAUCUAACCCCAGUCGUCACACCCUCUGUCUUCCCAACUCUCAUACUCUCCUGCCUGUGGUCCUCCACAGCUCACCCUCCUCCAGGCAUUAUGCUCUUGCCCAGCACCUGCAGCCUGGGGUCGGAUCCAUGCCCUUGCCCCAUCUACGCCCUCUGUACCCAGACCUGUGCCCCUCCCUACCUGUGCCCUCCACAGCUCACCCUCCUCCCCCUCUCCUCCUCCCUGUCCUGUGACCCACCUCCAUGCCUCAG